rnacentral:rRNA from 1 species
AACGAACGCUGGCGGCAGGCUUAACACAUGCAAGUCGAGCGCCCCGCAAGGGGAGCGGCAGACGGGUGAGUAACGCGUGGGAACGUACCCUUUGCUACGGAAUAGCUCCGGGAAACUGGAAUUAAUACCGUAUGUGCCCUACGGGGGAAAGAUUUAUCGCCAUUGGAGCGGCCCGCGUCUGAUUAGCUAGUUGGUGAGGUAAAGGCUCACCAAGGCGACGAUCAGUAGCUGGUCUGAGAGGAUGAUCAGCCACAUUGGGACUGAGACACGGCCCAAACUCCUACGGGAGGCAGCAGUGGGGAAUAUUGGACAAUGGGCGCGAGCCUGAUCCAGCCAUGCCGCGUGAGUGAUGAAGGCCUUAGGGUUGUAAAGCUCUUUCACCGGAGAAGAUAAUGACGGUAUCCGGAGAAGAAGCCCCGGCUAACUUCGUGCCAGCCGCCGCCGUAAUAC